GGGCCCUUAGCUCAGUCUGGUCAGAGCGCUCGGCUCAUAACCGGGUGGUCAGGGGUUCGAACCCCCUAGGGCCCA
rnacentral:tRNA from 1 species